rnacentral:rRNA from 1 species
ACUCAAAGGAAUUGACGGGGACCCGCACAAGCGGUGGAGCAUGUGGUUUAAUUCGACGCAACGCGAAGAACCUUACCAGGGCUUGACAUCCCGCGCAAUCUUGUGAAAGCAGGAGUUCGCGCCUUCGGGCGCGACGCGGAGACAGGUGGUGCAUGGUUGUCGUCAGCUCGUGUCGUGAGAUGUUGGGUUAAGUCCCGCAACGAGCGCAACCCCUACUUUCAGUUGCCAUCAUUAAGUUGGGCACUUUGGAGGAACUGCCGGUGACAAACCGGAGGAAGGUGGGGACGACGUCAAAUCAUCAUGCCCCUUAUGUCCUGGGCUACACACGUGCUACAAUGGCCGGUACAGAGGGAAGCGAAGCUGUGAAGCGGGGCGAAUCUCAAAAAGCCGGUCUCAGUUCGGAUUGCAGUCUGCAACUCGACUGCAUGAAGUCGGAAUCGCUAGUAAUCGCGAGUCAGCAUAUCGCGGUGAAUACGUUCCCGGGUCUUGCACACACCGCCCGU